AGCAUGCUACCUCAGUCAUAAAAAGGAUGUCUCAAAUUUUUCAAAAUAUGGAUAUAUCUGACAUGUUUUAGCGUCUAGAUACAUUCAAAUUUAAACAAAUUUCAGACAUCUUUUUCGGAACGGAGGUAGUAGUAU
rnacentral:pre_miRNA from 1 species